AGUGAACGCUGGCGGUAGGCCUAACACAUGCAAGUCGAACGGCAGCACAGUAAGAGCUUGCUCUUACGGGUGGCGAGUGGCGGACGGGUGAGGAAUACAUCGGAAUCUACUUUUUCGUGGGGGAUAACGUAGGGAAACUUACGCUAAUACCGCAUACGACCUACGGGUGAAAGCAGGGGAUCUUCGGACCUUGCGCGAUUGAAUGAGCCGAUGUCGGAUUAGCUAGUUGGCGGGGUAAAGGCCCACCAAGGCGACGAUCAGUAGCUGGUCUGAGAGGAUGAUCAGCCACACUGGAACUGAGACACGGUCCAGACUCCUACGGGAGGCAGCAGUGGGGAAUAUUGGACAAUGGGCGCAAGCCUGAUCCAGCCAUACCGCGUGGGUGAAGAAGGCCUUCGGGUUGUAAAGCCCUUUUGUUGGGAAAGAAAAGCAGCAGGUUAAUACCCCGCUGUUCUGACGGUACCCAAAGAAUAAACACCGGCUAACUUCGU
rnacentral:rRNA from 1 species